rnacentral:lncRNA from 1 species
GUGGGUAUCAGCUCAUUUUUAUUAUUUGUAAUAACAGUCAUCCCCCCUUUCUUAGGAACAACUUGAACAGGACUCACCCAACUACUAUCAAAAAUAGGAUAGAUAAUUCCUGCAUCAAGUAAUUUCAUUACUUCAGCUCUAACUACUUCAUUCAUAUUAGGAUUUAACCUACGUUGAUGUUCAAUUGAAGGUUUGUAGUUUUCUUUCAUUAAAAUUUUAUGCAUGCAUAUACUGGGACUAAUUCCCUUAAUAUCAUCAAUAGACCAGCC